CCUGGGGAGUACGGCCGCAAGGUUAAAACUCAAAUGAAUUGACGGGGGCCCGCACAAGCGGUGGAGCAUGUGGUUUAAUUCGAUGCAACGCGAAGAACCUUACCUACUCUUGACAUCCAGAGAACUUUCCAGAGAUGGAUUGGUGCCUUCGGGAACUCUGAGACAGGUGCUGCAUGGCUGUCGUCAGCUCGUGUUGUGAAAUGUUGGGUUAAGUCCCGCAACGAGCGCAACCCUUAUCCUUACUUGCCAGCGGGUAAUGCCGGGAACUGUAGGGAGACUGCCGGUGAUAAACCGGAGGAAGGUGGGGACGACGUCAAGUCAUCAUGGCCCUUACGAGUAGGGCUACACACGUGCUACAAUGGACAGUACAGAGGGAAGCAAAGCGGCGACGUGGAGCGGAACCCAAAAAGCUGUUCGUAGUCCGGAUUGGAGUCUGCAACUCGACUCCAUGAAGUCGGAAUCGCUAGUAAUCGUGGAUCAGAAUGCCACGGUGAAUACGUUCCCGGGCCUUGUACACACCGCCCGUCACACCAUGGGAGUGGUUUGCAAAAGAAGUAGCUAGCUUAACCUUCGGGGGGGCGGUUACCACUUUGUGGAUCAUGACUGGGGUGAAGUCGUAACAAGGUAGCCCUAGGGGAACCUGGGGCUGGAUCACCUCCUUA
rnacentral:rRNA from 1 species